rnacentral:rRNA from 1 species
UAAUACGGAGGAUCCGAGCGUUAUCCGGAUUUAUUGGGUUUAAAGGGAGCGUAGAUGGAUGUUUAAGUCAGUUGUGAAAGUUUGCGGCUCAACCGUAAAAUUGCAGUUGAUACUGGAUAUCUUGAGUGCAGUUGAGGCAGGCGGAAUUCGUGGUGUAGCGGUGAAAUGCUUAGAUAUCACGAAGAACUCCGAUUGCGAAGGCAGCCUGCUAAGCUGCAACUGACAUUGAGGCUCGAAAGUGUGGGUAUCAAACAGGAUUAGAUACCCUGGUAGUCCACACGGUAAACGAUGAAUACUCGCUGUUUGCGAUAUACUGCAAGCGGCCAAGCGAAAGCGUUAAGUAUUCCACCUGGGGAGUACGCCGGCAACGGUGAAACUCAAAGGAAUUGACGGGGGCCCGCACAAGCGGAGGAACAUGUGGUUUAAUUCGAUGAUACGCGAGGAACCUUACCCGGGCUUAAAUUGCAAAUGAAUAAUCUGGAAACAGGUUAGCCGCAAGGCAUUUGUGAAGGUGCUGCAUGGUUGUCGUCAGCUCGUGCCGUGAGGUGUCGGCUUAAGUGCCAUAACGAGCGCAACCCUUAUCUUUAGUUACUAACAGGUUAUGCUGAGGACUCUAGAGAGACUGCCGUCGUAAGAUGUGAGGAAGGUGGGGAUGACGUCAAAUCAGCACGGCCCUUACGUCCGGGGCUACACA